rnacentral:rRNA from 1 species
UACACUCCUACGGGAGGCAGCAGUGGGGAAUAUUGGACAAUGGGCGCAAGCCUGAUCCAGCCAUGCCGCGUGAGUGAUGAAGGCCCUAGGGUUGUAAAGCUCUUUCACCGGUGAAGAUAAUGACGGUAACCGGAGAAGAAGCCCCGGCUAACUUCGUGCCAGCAGCCGCGGUAAUACGAAGGGGGCUAGCGUAGUUCGGAUUUACUGGGCGUAAAGCGCACGUAGGCGGACUAUUAAGUCAGGGGUGAAAUCCCGGGGCUCAACCCCGGAACUGCCUUUGAUACUGGUAGUCUUGAGUUCGAGAGAGGUGAGUGGAAUUCCGAGUGUAGAGGUGAAAUUCGUAGAUAUUCGGAGGAACACCAGUGGCGAAGGCGGCUCACUGGCUCGAUACUGACGCUGAGGUGCGAAAGCGUGGGGAGCAAACAGGAUUAGAUACCCCAGUAGUCCCAUG